UUGAGAAAAGGGAGAUCGGGGCCAGACUGUGAGAGUCAUAAGCCAGAAUAAGCUUGGUGCUACCUCUUUAUUUUCUUUACUUUUAUUAUUUACUUAUGAAGAAUUGUGAUUGAGAGAAAUAUUUUUUAAACUAUGAUUAGAAUAUUGUGGAAUAUAACUUUGGACUGACCAAUUUGGAGAAAAUUUGAAACCUAGAGAAUUGAGAUUAUCGAAUUGUGUUGUGUUAAGUGAAGAUAUUGAAUUCUGUGUGAUUAAUUGAGAAACUAAAUAUAAUAAGUAAGUUGGAGAUCAGUAAUUGAAUAUAUAUAAAUAGCAAAGAGAAUAAGUGGGAGAUGAAUUGAUAAGAAUAUAGAAGUAUUGUUGAAUUGAUAGUCGUAGAAUGGAUUAUAUAUUGAAUUAGGACUGAAGUAGUAAGCCUUGGUGUUUUGUAGUUUGAUAAUUGAUUUCAGAUAGUUAGAGUAUAGUCAAUUGUGACACUAAUAGUCCCAAUUCAUAUAACCAGUCUUUCCCUGUAUUCGAAUCCACCUCUAUUAGUCAAUUCUUUUGGUAUAUUGAAACUUGAACACAAUAA
rnacentral:lncRNA from 1 species